GAUGAACGCUGGCGGCGUGCCUAAUACAUGCAAGUCGAGCGAACAGACGAGGAGCUUGCUCCUUUGACGUUAGCGGCGGACGGGUGAGUAACACGUAGGUAACCUACCUAUAAGACUGGGAUAACUUCGGGAAACCGGAGCUAAUACCGGAUAAUAUUUCGAACCGCAUGGUUCGAUAGUGAAAGAUGGCUUUGCUAUCACUUAUAGAUGGACCUGCGCCGUAUUAGCUAGUUGGUAAGGUAACGGCUUACCAAGGCAACGAUACGUAGCCGACCUGAGAGGGUGAUCGGCCACACUGGAACUGAGACACGGUCCAGACUCCUACGGGAGGCAGCAGUAGGGAAUCUUCCGCAAUGGGCGAAAGCCUGACGGAGCAACGCCGCGUGAGUGAUGAAGGUCUUCUGAUCGUAAAACUCUGUUAUUAGGGAAGAACAAUCGUGUAAGUAACUGUGCACGUCUUGACGGUACCUAAUCAGAAAGCCACGGCUAACUACGUG
rnacentral:rRNA from 1 species